UACGAAGGGGGCUAGCGUUGUUCGGAUUUACUGGACGUAAAGCGCACGUAGGCGGAUCGAUCAGUCAGGGGUGAAAUCCCAGGGCUCAACCCUGGAACUGCCUUUGAUACUGUCGAUCUGGAGUAUGGAAGAGGUGAGUGGAAUUCCGAGUGUAGAGGUGAAAUUCGUAGAUAUUCGGAAGAACACCAGUGGCGAAGGCGACUUACUGGACACAUAUUGACGCUGAGGUGCGAAAGCGUGGGGAGCAAACAGG
rnacentral:rRNA from 1 species